rnacentral:rRNA from 1 species
UACGUAGGGUGCAAGCGUUGUCCGGAAUUAUUGGGCGUAAAGAGCGUGUAGGCGGCCCCAUUAGUCCGCUGUGAAAGUCCAGGGCUCAACCUGGGAACUGCAUUUGUGACUGGCGGGCUAGAGUAUGGCAGAGGGGGGUAGAAUUCCACGUGUAGCAGUGAAAUGCGUAGAGAUGUGGAGGAAUACCGAUGGCGAAGGCAGCCCCCUGGGCCAAUACUGACGCUCAUGCACGAAAGCGUGGGGAGCAAACAGG